rnacentral:rRNA from 1 species
UACGAAGGGGGCUAGCGUUGCUCGGAAUUACUGGGCGUAAAGGGAGCGUAGGCGGAUAGUUUAGUCAGAGGUGAAAGCCCAGGGCUCAACCUUGGAAUUGCCUUUGAUACUGGCUAUCUUGAGUAUGGAAGAGGUAUGUGGAACUCCGAGUGUAGAGGUGAAAUUCGUAGAUAUUGGGAAGAACACCGGUGGCGAAGGCGGCUCUCUGGACCGAUACUGACGCUGAGGCGCGAAAGCGUGGGGAGCAAACAGG